rnacentral:rRNA from 1 species
GAGACGCUGGCGGCGUGGAUUAGGCAUGCAAGUCGAACGGUAUCAUCCUUUCGGGGGUGAGAGAGUGGCGAACUGGUGAGUAACACGUAGGUUAUCUACCCUCAAGACGGGACAACCCAGGGAAACUUGGGCUAAUACCGGAUGUGAGCAACUUUUAGUUGUUUGAAAGGUGGCGUAAGCUGUCGCUUGGGGAUGAGCCUGCGUCCUAUUAGUUAGUUGGUGAGGUAACGGCUCACCUAGGCAAUGAUAGGUAGGCGGCCUUAACGGGUGGUCGCCCACACUGGGAUUGAGAUACGGCCCAGACUCCUACGGGAGGCAGCAGUCGAGAAUAGUCUACAAUGGUCGGAAGACUGAUAGUGCGACGCCGCGUGAACGAUGAAUCCCUUCGGGGUGUAAAGUUCUUUUAUAUGUGAGCAGUGCUUCUUAUAUUAACAGUAUGGGGAGAGAGAUAUUAGCAUAUGAAUAAGCAACGGCUAACUCCGUG